rnacentral:rRNA from 1 species
UACGUAGGGGGCAAGCGUUGUCCGGAAUCAUUGGGCGUAAAGAGCGUGUAGGCGGCCCGAUAAGUCCGCCGUGAAAGUCCAGGGCUCAACCCUGGGAUGCCGGUGGAUACUGUGGGGCUAGAGUCCGGAAGAGGCGAGUGGAAUUCCUGGUGUAGCGGUGGAAUGCGCAGAUAUCAGGAGGAACACCAAUAGCGAAGGCGGCGAUCUGGGUUGAUACUGACGCUGAGGUGCGAAAGCGUGGGGAGCAAACAGG